CCUACGGGAGGCAGCAGUGAGGAAUAUUGCACAAUGGCGGAGACGCUGAUGCAGCGAAGUCGCGUGAGUGAAGACGUAUUUCGGUGUGUAAAACUCUAUCAGCAGGGGAGAGAAUGACGGUACCUGAGUCUCAAGCCGCGUCUAACUACGUACCAGAAGCCGCGGUAAUACGUAGGGUGCAAGCGUUAUCCGGAUUUACUGGGGGUAAAGGGAGCGUAGACGGCGAAGCAAGUCUGCAGGGAAAGCCCGCGGCUCAACCGCGGAACUGCUUUGGAAACUUUUUUGCUGGAGUGCAGGAGAGGUAAGCGGAAUGCGUAGUGUAGCGGUGAAAUGCGUAGAUAUUAGGAGGAACACCAGUGGCGAAGGCGGCAUACUGGACGGCAACUGACGUUGAGGCUCGAAAGCGUGGGGAGCAAACAGGAUUAGAUACCCGAGUAGUC
rnacentral:rRNA from 1 species